rnacentral:rRNA from 1 species
UACAGAGGGGGCAAGCGUUGUUCGGAAUUACUGGGCGUAAAGAGCGCGUAGGCGGUCCGGUAAGUCCGCUCUGAAAGUCCGGGGGCUCAACCCCCGGGAGGCGGGCGGAUACUGUCGGGCUAGAGUCCGGAAGAGGCGAGUGGAAUUCCUGGUGUAGCGGUGAAAUGCGGCAGAUAUCAGGAGGAACACCAAUGGCGAAGGCAGCUCGCUGGGACGGUACUGACGCUGAGGCGCGAAAGCGUGGGGAGCAAACAGG